rnacentral:rRNA from 1 species
AGUGAACGCUGGCGGUAGGCCUAACACAUGCCAGUCGAACGGCAGCACAGUAAGAGCUUGCUCUUACGGGUGGCGAGUGGCGGACGGGUGAGGAAUACAUCGGAAUCUACUUUUUCGUGGGGGAUAACGUAGGGAAACUUACGCUAAUACCGCAUACGACCUACGGGUGAAAGCAGGGGAUCUUCGGACCUUGCGCGAUUGAAUGAGCCGAUGUCGGAUUAGCUAGUUGGCGGGGUAAAGGCUCACCAAGGCGACGAUCCGUAGCUGGUCUGAGAGGAUGAUCAGCCACACUGGAACUGAGACACGGUCCAGACUCCUACGGGAGGCAGCAGUGGGGAAUAUUGGACAAUGGGCGCAAGCCUGACGCAGCAAUACCGCGUGGGUGAAGAAGGCCUUCGGGUUGUAAAGCCCUUUUGUUGGGAAAGAAAAGCAGCAGGUUAAUACCUCGCUGUCCUGACGGUACCCAAAGAAUAAGCACCGGCUAACUUCGUG